rnacentral:rRNA from 1 species
UGCGGUUAAAAAGCUCGUAGUUGGAUCUGCGUUCGGUGAAAGCGGUCGCCCGACGGGUUGUACUGCUUCUCCCGAACUAAUCAUUCGGUUUUCCCUUGAUGCUCUUCAUUGAGUGUCCUGGGUGACCGGAACUUUUACUUUGAAAAAAUUAGAGUGCUCAAAGCAGGCGAUUCGCCCGAAUAUUCGUGCAUGGAAUAAUGAAAAAGGUCCUUGUAGCCUUUUAUUGGUUAUUGCUAUGAGGAAAUGAUCGAAGGGGACAGACGGGGGCAUUUGUAUUGCGACGUUAGAGGUGAAAUUCUUGGAUCGUCGCAAGACAAACUACUGCGAAAGCAUUUGCCAAGAAUGUUUUCAUCAAUCAAGAACGAAAGUCUGAGGUUCGACAGCGAUCAGAUACCGCUUUAGUUCAGACCGUAAACGAUGCCAUCUGGCGAUCCAUGGGUGUUAUGUAUGACUCCAUGGGCAGCCACCGGGAAACCUUUAAGUUGGGUUCCGGGGGAAGUAUGGUUGCAAAGCUGAAACUUAAAGGAAUUGACGGAAGGGCACCACCAGGAGUGGAGCCUGCGGCUUAAUUUGACUCAACACGGGAAAACUCACCCGGCCCGGACACUGUAAGGAUUGACAGAUUGAUAGCUCUUUCUUGAUUCGGUGGUGUGGUGGUGCAUGGCCG